rnacentral:rRNA from 1 species
UACGGAGGGUGCAAGCGUUAAUCGGAAUUACUGGGCGUAAAGCGUGCGCAGGCGGUUUGUUAAGUCCGUUGUGAAAGCCCCGAGCUCAACUUGGGAAUUGCAGUGGAUACUGGCAGGCUGGAGUACGGUAGAGGAAGGUGGAAUUCCCGGUGUAGCAGUGAAAUGCGUAGAUAUCUGGAGGAAUACCGGUGGCGAAGGCGGCAUCCUGGACCGACAUUGACGCUGAACGGCGAAAGCUAGGGGAGCAAACGGG